GGGUUCCUCACUGCGUCCUCGUUAUACCCAUGGGGAACAAAGUCACAAAGAGAGGAGGGUAAAGUUACUGCUGCUCCGUCUGCUGCUACCAUAUAGCGACUACGGUCUAUUUCUCUCUCCUUUUGAAGACCGGAGCGGAUGCAAAUCGAGUGAGCACAUUUCCUGUGAAACACCCCCGGCGUCCCUGAGUCUGCAGAGGAGACGGCACAGACACGUGUCUCCGCAGCUCACACCCAUCCCCGUUUCUCUGCGUCCUCUCCUGCAGAAUUGUCUCCAAAAUCGUCAGAAAAGAGAUGAUGCUGUGGCUACCCCUCGCUUUCAUGGCAGCAAUUCCCAGAGGAGUCCAUUCGCAGAUUCAGCUGGUGGAGUCUGGGGGAGGUGUUAAAACCACAGGAGAUUCUACCCGCAUCUCCUGUAAAGCCUCCGAAUUUCCCUUUGGAAACUAUUGGAUUUUCUGGUACCGCCAGCCUCCCGGGAAAGCGCCAGAGUGGAUCUCCUACAUUAACCCCGGUAGUACUAAAGCGGACUAUGGCCAUUCAGUGAAAGGGCGAUUCACCAUCUCCAGAGACAACCCCAGCAACCUGCUCUAUUUGCAAAUGACCGGCCUGAGACCCGAGGACACGGCGGUGUAUCACUGUGUGAGAGACACAGUGACGGGCAGGGAAUCUAAGCACGUACAAAAACAUCCCCUUUGCAGUUACAGCCCGCCGCGGGGCACAGCCCAGGGGAAGGGUCAGACACACACAGAACUGAACCAAGGAGAAAAUGUCCCCAGCGCUGCCAGCAGCGCGGGACGGACAAGACUUUUUUGGGGCUGCAGAGUCAGGUCAGGGCUGGGGUAGCAAAUAUGAGGCAGCCUCUGUCCCAGUCCCUGCCCCUAGGGGGCAGC